GAAGAAGGUCUUCGGAUUGUAAAGCACUUUAAGUUGGGAGGAAGGGCAGUAAGUUAAUACCUUGCUGUUUUGACGUUACCAACAGAAUAAGACCGGCUAACUUCGUGCCAGCAGCCGCGGUAAUACGAAGGGUGCAAGCGUUAAUCGGAAUUACUGGGCGGAAAGCGCGCGUAGGUGGUUCACCAUGUUGGAUGUGAAAUCCCCGGGCUCAACCUGGGAACUGCAUCCAAAACUACUGAGCUAGAGUACGGUAGAGGGCGGGGGAAUUUCCUGUGUAGCGGUGAAAUGCGUAUAUAUAGGAAGGAACACCAGUGGCGAAGGCCCACCACCUGGACUGAUACUGACACUGUAGGUGCUAAAGCAUGAGGAGCACAUCAGGAUUAGAUACCCUGGUAAGUCCAACGCCGUAAACGAAUGUCCAACUAGACGAUUUGGCGGAAUCCCUUU
rnacentral:rRNA from 1 species